AAAUUCUAAAAUUUUGAAUUCCUUUUACUAAAAUAUCCAAACAAUUAAUUUUAAUAAAAAAGAAUUUAAUUCCCUAUAAAAAAUAGAUUACCUAGCUAAAUUAUCCUAUUUAAACACACUCUAAAUGUCUUUGCAAAAGACCUAAGCGACUUGAUUCACUUGUAUUAUGAAAAAAAAAAAUCCAAAUUAUAUAAUACAAUAAGAUAAAAACAGCAUAAUUUUAAAAUAAUAUUUAUAUUGUGUUGUGUCCCAACCGUUGUUAGCUUCCUCUGUCCUCUUUUCUUCCGUGCCCUCCCUCCGUCCUUCCCUCCCACAGGUUAAUAACUACCUGUGUACAAAACUUAAAACAACUAAGACUAUUUGACAGCAUAUAUAAAUUAUCUUAAACUAGAUUAGAUAAUUAAUCACCUUGGUUAUUUUGGAUUAAACCUGAACAAAUUGAAGCAAACAAAUAAUUGAAUUAAAGAAUACAAUGACUACUAACGAAGUUCAGCACAAUUAAUAGAUGACUGAGUUCUAUAAACAUUUUAACAAAGAUUUAAUUUUUUGAUAGUGUAUGAAGAAAACUUUAUUAGAAGAGGUAAAUUCAAAUUCAAUAAUUUUUAUGUUUCGAAAAUUAAUUUGAUGACUUUCAACUAUAAGAAUAACCUUCAGAAAAUAAAAUAAAAUACAAUGGCGAUAUAUUGAUGAUAUCUCUUAAUUUUAUCCACUUUAUUACCUUUACAAAAUGUCGGUUGCAGGUCCUCAAGUCAAGUGCAUUCAUAGGAUUUUGACCUCUUUGUUUCACAACUCAUCUCGCCCAUGAGAUGGUACCCAAAUGUCAAGCAACCCCACGUUUGAAGUUGAGAAAAAUAUACGUCCCAACUUUUCCAUUUUACUUCUUAAUACUUCCAAUAUUUACAUUCAACUAACCCAUGUUGGAUUUAUGGCAAUUAAGCAAGGUGGCCUUUAAUUAGUAGUAUAUUCAUAUAGCAUCUCAUCCCUUUGUAAAUCUUCUUUAUACAAAAAGUAGAUUAAGUCCUUCACCACACUUUAAAAGCCCCCUUAGCCAUCCCAAAAAAUAAUCAUAUCCUAAAGCAUCAUUGGCUUCAAAACUCAUAGAGAGAGAGAGGAGAGAGAGCUUAAGGGUAGUCGUUUGUAUGUUUUUAUUUUCCCUCUUGUUAGGUUGGGAGAAUGCCUAUCCUUUGCAAACCAGUGUACAUUGUUGUGACUUCAUUUUAUGUUUAUGUUCUUCAAUUCAGUGACUGUUUGGCCUAUGAGGAGGAACAUCACUCUAGUAGUCACAAAAGCACUAAUAACAAAGUUUACAAGGUAUACCAAUUUCUUUUUAGUUUCCUAUGAAAAAAAUUUCAUGUUCAUCUGCUUUCUUCUUCAGCAAUGCUACUAUUUAUGCAGUCAGCAAAGAUAACUAACUACCUAUCUUUUUCUCUUUCAUUUUAUUAUGCAAGAAACUUAUUAAAUAUUUUAUUAUCACAAAUUAAGGACUAGAAAACAUGAUUUGUAUAAUAAUUAACUACUACCUUUUAAUGUAUCAGGUAAAUCAGCAGAAGACAUCUGAUAUUGCAGUACAUGGAUUGCUCCUUUGGGCUUCAACAGGGUUUUUG
rnacentral:lncRNA from 1 species